UUGUCGUCCGCCGACCUCGCUGGUGAGCCACGCUCAACCUUGCAGCUCCUUCGCGUCGUCGAUUUCCUUGACCCACAACCUCUCUUCCGACCUCGUCGUGCUCGCGAUGUCAUCGUAAAGCUGCUAGCUGCCUGUCUCGCUGUUCCUGAUACCCAGCAAGCCGUUGUGCUCGGCAUACUUUCUCCAUGUGGUUCUCUCGCUUCGUCGGCUUUCCGCGUGUUAGAGCAGAGUACCCAGAAGAAGUGA
rnacentral:misc_RNA from 1 species